rnacentral:tRNA from 1 species
AAUGAUGAGCCUGAUUAAAGGACUAUCGUGAUAGGAUAAAACAUGUAGCUUUAAAUUCUACCUUCAUUA